rnacentral:sRNA from 1 species
CGACUAAGGUUCGAUUCGAGCGCAGCGAGAAAGCGUUGCCGCAGGCAACGACCCAAAGGGCGAAGCGCGCAGCGCUGAGUAAUCCUUCCCCCACCACCA